rnacentral:rRNA from 1 species
GAUGAACGCUGGCGGCGUGCCUAAUACAUGCAAGUCGAGCGAACGGACGAGAAGCUUGCUUCUCUGAUGUUAGCGGCGGACGGGUGAGUAACACGUGGAUAACCUACCUAUAAGACUGGGAUAACUUCGGGAAACCGGAGCUAAUACCGGAUGAUAUUUUGAACCGCAUUGUUCAAGAGUGAAAGACGGUCUUUCUUUCACUUAUAGAUGGAUCCGCGCUGCAUUAGCUAGUUGGUAAGGUAACGGCUUACCAAGGCAACGAUGCAUACCCGCCCUGAGCGGGUGAUCGGCCAGAUGGGAAGUGAGACUCGGUACAGACACCUACGGGAGGCAGCAGUAGGGAAUCUUACGCAAUGGGCGAAAGCCUGACGGAGCAACGCCGCGUGAGUGAUGAAGGUCUUCGGCUCGUAAAACUAUGUUAUUAGGGAAGAACAUAUGUGUAAGUAACUGUGAACAUAUUGACGGUACCUAAUCAGAAAGCCACGGCUAACUACGUG